rnacentral:misc_RNA from 1 species
UUUCCGUAGGUGAACCUGCGGAAGGAUCAUUAUCGAGUUUUGACUGGGUUGUAGCUGGCCUUCCGAGGCAUGUGCCCUCACACACAUCCAUCUCACCCCUAUGUGCACCACCGCGUGGGUCCCCCUUUGGCUUGUUCGGAGGGGGGCUUACGUUUUCACACAAACUUUGUAUGCAGUGUAGAAUGUAUUUUUUGUUUUUGCGAUCACGCAAUCAAUACAACUUUCAACAACGGAUCUCUUGGCUCUC